UACAGAGGGUGCGAGCGUUAAUCGGAAUUACUGGGCGUAAAGCGUGCGCAGACGGUCACGUAAGUCGGGUGUGAAAGCCCCGGGCUCAACCUGGGAAUUGCAUUCGAGACUGCGUGGCUAGGGUGCGGAAGAGGGAAGCGGAAUUUCCGGUGUAGCGGUGAAAUGCGUAGAUAUCUGGAGGAACACCGGUGGCGAAGGCGGCAUCCUGGACCGGUAUUGACACUGAGGCGCGAAAGCCAGGGGAGCAAACGGG
rnacentral:rRNA from 1 species